GUGCUCGCUUCAGCAGCACACAUACUAAAAUUGGAAUGAUACAGAGAAGAUUGGCAUGGCCCCUGUGCUAGGAUGACACGCAAAUUUGUGAAGCGUUCCAUAGUAAA
ensembl:snRNA U6 U6 spliceosomal RNA